UACGUAGGGGGCAAGCGUUAUCCGGAUUUACUGGGUGUAAAGGGAGCGUAGACGGCAAUACAAGUCGGAAGUGAAAUACCCGGGCUCAACAUGGGAACUGCUUUGGAAACUGUAUGGCUGGAGUGCUGGAGAGGUAAGCGGAAUUCCUAGUGUAGCGGUGAAAUGCGUAGAUAUUAGGAGGAACACCAGUGGCGAAGGCGGCUUACUGGACAGUAACUGACGUUGAGGCUCGAAAGCGUGGGGAGCAAACAGG
rnacentral:rRNA from 1 species